rnacentral:RNase_P_RNA from 1 species
GACAGAGGGAGCCCGACUCCCGUGCCUCCGGCAUGAGGAAAGUCCCCCCACCGGCCGGACAGGCGACCGGGCACACGCCCGGAGUCGGAGACGGCUGGCUCUGGAACAGCAACGACACCCCCCGCCCCGACCGAUGACGCGUGCGAACCGACCCGCAAGGGAAGGGAGUUAACCCGCGGAGGGCGCGUGGGUUUCCCACGUUAUAGACGGGCGGGAACGGAUGGAACGGCGAAUCCUCGCCGGUGCAAGUCCGCGCCACAAGGUAGUCCGGCCGCGGCGCGGACGCUCAGCCGAAUGUCGGGACGAACCGAAGGGGGCUUACUCCCCUCAGUC